rnacentral:snoRNA from 1 species
CCUGGCCCUAGAGGUGUUGCUGGUGUGGCUGUUGUGUCACAUGUGUGGUGGCAGACAGGAGAGGCUAUAUCUAUGCUCAAUGUUCUGACCUAUAAACAUUGGAAUGACUCAUAGCCUAACACU